CCUACGGGAGGCAGCAGUGAGGAAUAUUGGUCAAUGGACGAGAGUCUGAACCAGCCAAGUAGCGUGAAGGAUGACUGCCCUAUGGGUUGUAAACUUCUUUUAUAUGGGAGUAAAACAGGGUAUGCAUACACUAUUGUAUGUACCAUAUGAAUAAGGAUCGGCGAACUCCGUGCCAGCGGCCGCGGUAAUACGGAGGAUCCGAGCGUUAUACGGAUUUAUUGGGUUUAAAGGGAGCGUAGGUGGAUUGUUAAGUCAGUUGUGAAAGUUUUCGGCUCAACCGUAAAAUUGCAGUUGAAACUGGCAGUCUUGAGUACAGUAGAGGUGAGCGGAAUUCGUGGUGUAGCGGUGAAAUGCUUAGAUAUCACGAAGAACUCCGAUUGCGAAGGCAGCUCACUGGACUGCAACUGACACUGAUGCUCGAAAGUGUGGGUAUCAAACAGGAUUAGAUACCCCUGUAGUC
rnacentral:rRNA from 1 species